ensembl:lncRNA
AAAAGAUCUGUGAUUUAAAUUAACAGCCCUUCAAGCUCGGAAAAAUCUGAAGCUGUUUGCCCACCAGUCACCCAAACAUCCGGUGAAAAUCGCGGAAAUAAACAAUAACAGCGAUCCUCCCUAUUCCUACCUGAGAUCGCUCUGAUUUCCUCGCGGUCAGAAAGUUGCUUGUUAUAGUAGAAAGCUAACGUUAAGCUAACAGCUACUGUAUUGUUGUCAGUGUUAUGACCUGCACCGUAAAGUUUUGAUAAAUUCCAUGAUAAAUGCCUUUUUUUAAAUGUUUUUCUUAUGCUUACAGAUUGGUCAGUGGAACUUGUCUUGAGCAAACGAAAGGUGGAGCUCUUGGUCAGAGGCUCAAGCCAAUAAUCAUGGAAUUAAUUAAGGAUCCAACCUCUACUGUAGAAAAGAGGAGGGAAGUCGUAAUCCGAGGCCUGAUUGAGUACAUCGGGGAGAAGCCAGAGGACUUGAUUUCAGAUCAACAGAAUCUGGAGGAAAUUGAGGACACUCAGCAGAAUAUCUCCUAUCCACUGAAGAUCGUCAAAGUCGGUGACACGUAUGAGAACAACAUUGAUGGCCUCCAAUGCAUCACAGGUUUGGGCAAUGUCGCCAAGGCCUCCUGCAUUCUUGUUGGCGAUAUAUACGCGUUGGACUUGAACUAUCCAUCCAAACUUCAGCAGACAUUUCAAACUUUUCAGAUUACUGAUUGUUGCAAAGAUACUCAUGAGUGUGUCUAAAGACCAGUAGCAAUAUAAAUAAUCCAUAUUUGUCUAUCAAUCCUGUUCCUUGAUUGUUGAGUUGUAUUUUCCUCUGCAUUAUCCGCUGUUCUAGUUUAAUUGUGCCAGAGGGAGAAAAUACUGUACACUCUUGUAGAAAAUAAUUAAUUUUCAUUGAAUAAUAAUCAAUGAACUCAUCAAAUAAUUGAAUGUGUCAAUAAAUAAUUUAAAUAAUCAUUACAAGUAAUAAAAAAGAGUUUGAGGAAUGAGUUUGACAGAUAGCUGGGCUAAUAAGUUUACAUCCCCAACAUACUUUUUCAGAGAAUAUGUAUAAUAACAUACAAAUCUUUCUUUUGCUCGUGAUUAGUGAUUCUAUUAUAUAAAAAAACUGUUUACUCUUUUUAAAUCAUGACAACAGAAACUUCCCAAAUGACCCUGAUCAAAAAUUGACAUAACCCUGUACUUAAUGAGUACCUGUACAUCAAUGACAACCUGUAAUGUUUUGUGGUAGUUGUGGAUGAGGCUCUUGAUUUUCUCAGAUGGUAAAUCUGCCAAUUCUUCUUGGCAAAAAACCUCCAGUUCAUGUAAAACCUUGAGCUGUCUUGCAUAAACUGCACAUUUGAGAUCUCCCCAUUAACACUGGAGGAUUUUUGCCUAGAAGAAUAGGCAGAUUUGCCAUCUGAGAAAACCCAAGAGCCUCAUCCACAACUACCACAAAACAUUACAGGCUGUCAUUGAUGUAAAAAGGGACAAUACUCAGUAUUAAGUAACUUCACAAUAUAAAUGAGAAGGAAGGUCUAGAACAUGAUUAAAACUAAACGUCCUAAAAGAACAUUUUGCAUAACUCCUUAAAAUAUUUAUUGACACCUUAAAAUAAGUCUUGGUUUAAUUCAAUGAACAUUUACUUAUUCAAUGACAUAUAUUUCAUGUAUUUGUAAUGGUGCAUUAAAAAAUAGUGCUAAUGGAAAAUCUGCUGAAUGGUCUAUUGGUAUGUAUGGUAAAAAUAUCAAUACAAAAACAAUCCUUUAAAAAAUGUUUGCUCAUAUUUAUUCUUUUCCUUUUUUUUUACUUAAAACUGGAGUGGUGAGAAACAAAAAUUGUACAGAGUACUUCUGUUGGAAGAGAAAUCAGAUGGAAAAAUGUUUCAAAAUGUAACAUUGACAAAUAUAUUUUUAUAUAUAUUUACGUUUAAUUGUGUUCACAACUUUAUUAAUAUUGUGAAAAAUAAAUGUUGACAUGGAAAAGCUUCAAAAGGUUUUAUUUCAGAACACAAGCAUAUUGGUAUAAAUGUUUUAAAGUAAUGUUUUUCAGAGCUAACAUUCUUGGCAAAGAUGAUAAUCUUAGUAGGUUUUUUUGUAUUCUACUAGAAAACAUGUUGGGAGAAAAUAUUAACUCAAAGAAAUGUAAUUGUUUAAUC